GAUCAACAACCUUUGACGUUUUAUUGCGCAACGCAUCGAGUGAUUGGCUGUAGAGACUGCAUAAUCUUCGAGCAUAAAACAUGUGAAGUAUCAUAUAUAUCGGAUAAGACGAUGAGUUUAGAUAAUGUAGACAAAAAUGAAUACUUAGACGAAGCCAUAAAAGAGAUUGAAAAAUGCAGCAACGAAAUAAAAGAAUACUAAAAGGAGAUUAAAAACAAAACAUGGACAGUACACACGCUACACAUAAAACAUUUACCAGAGACGCCGAGAGCUUUAGGAAAACGAUAAAGGAAAAGAUGGAUUACCUGAUUUUUGAUGCUUGUGAAGAGGCAAACGAUACAAAAACCGAGACUUUAAGAUGUUUAGAGAAGCUAGAAGUAAAUGCAUCAAAUAUGAGAGAGAAGAUCUAUCUGCAAUGAAAAUGACAAUGGAGAUAGAGAAAAAAUGAUCCAAUAAGGUUAUUGGUCACGGCAAUACGUUCGCGAAAAAAAAUUGAAAGAUAUAAAGGAAACUUUUGCUAAAUUUGAAAAAAGUAAUAGAGCUAGAACAUUUACGUUCAUAAGACAGGAAACCAUAGGAAAUGUGAUUGAAAGAUGUAAGGGAAUUGAUUUAAUUCAAAGAAGUCCAGUUGCCGAACAUGACAAGCGAAACGUAAACAGAAAACCUAGAAAUGUGAUGGCUGAUACGUGUGUAAGGCUUUGAUAAAAGACAAAGAAAAGAUGUAUCUGCUUUGACAUAAAUAUUUAAUAAAGAACUUUAUUCAUUGAUAUCAUGUGUUGAAAUUACCUCUGCUGAAUAUUAUUUUAAGCCUGGUUCAAAGGUGACAUCAAAGCAUUCACUAGUACACAGAAGAUUAGCGCUCCCCAAAAUUGCACGGUCGUGUCUGCAAUUAUACACGGAUUACAGCUGAUGGUCUUACUAAAACAUUUAACAUGAAAAUGAUAGUGUCAAUGUCUUAAAUAAACAAUUUCAGAUUUUCGAGUUUCCUUUAAAGAGAGAUCUUCUAACGUAAACAAUCCACACAUUUACAAAGAUUACUGGGCUGCACUUUGGAAUGGUAAAUGUAAAAUAUUCUGAGACAAUUUUUUGAAUUACUUUUAUCAAUGAAGCUGUUUCACUUCUAUGUUCAAAUUUCUGUUGAAAGCAUUCAAAAAGUUUAAUUAUCAUACAGACAAGUUUUUUACAUUUUCAUAACUUCAACAAAUACCGUAUCAAAAACAUCAUUAUUUUUUUGCAUAUGUUUCAUCUAAAUAAUUAUCAUACUCAAGAUAAGACCUGUUUUUUUCCCCAAAACAUCCGUUUGUAGAAAAUGUUCAAUGUUCUUAAGCACCAAUCUUCGACUGUAUAAGUACUAGUAAUUAUAUGAAAUCAUUUUUGACAUGCAAUAAAAAGUUUAUAAUUGGUGUAGAAAAUUGUCUCCUUAUACAGUUAAUACAGCUAGGCUUAACAGUACGUGGAGUCCGGACGAAAACAAAAGAAUAGUGCGAGCUGCUGAACAACCUGCCUUCGAUCUUCAAUGUGUGCAGAGAUUUCCGACAGCAUUAUAAGAAAUUAUAAUAAUAAUAAUAAUAAUAAAUGAUUGCAUGUAAGGUUUAUGUGUAGCUUUUGUAUUAGAUUUGUGCUUGAGCAAAUCCAUAAGUUCAUCCAGCCUAGAAACUGCGAAAUUGUCGGCUAUAACAUGUGAGGAGUGCGCAACAAAUUUAAAACAAUAUUGAUAGCUUAGUAAAACGCCUAAUGAUUAUUUGAUACAUUGACUUUUAACAAAUAGAUCAUGAGCAAUAGAAAAAUGCUUCAUCAUAAUUUAAUUGCAUAGAUCAAUGAAAAAUAAAUGAUUUGUUUUUUAUUCAAGAUGUAAAUAGUUAAUAUUUUGGAAUGUUAUGAUAAAUUAAAGGACGGAACUUAUAAAGAGAUAGCUACAGUGACACAGAUAUGACAAUUAUGGGUUUUUUAUUUAUCUUGUACGCACGAGAUACUAUGUCGUGGCCAAUAGUUACUAACUGGUGUGCAAGAGAUAAUUAAGUGGUGCGCACGAGAAACUAUGUCGUGGUCAGGAGUUACUAAGUCGUGGGAACUAGAUAAUUAAGUGGUGCGCACGAGAUGCUAUGUCGUGGCCAGGAGUUACUAAGUCAUGCACGUGAGAUACUGUGUUGUGGCCUCGAGAUACAAAGUCGUGGGAACGAAAUGAUUAAGUGAUGCGCACGAGAUACCAUGUCGUUGCCACGAGUUAUUUAGUCGUGCGCACGAGACAAUUAUGUCGUGCGCACGAGAUAACUAACCAAUCAGAUAACAAUAUUUAUAUGAUUUAUUUCAGUUUACUAGAAAUGUGCCAUAGGACAACGCUGCCCCUACUUCACCCGUCUGUCACUGUGCAAUAUAUAAAAGUUAUUGAUACGACAAUGAUUUUACAUUUAGCGUCAUUGUGACCCUGAUUUGUGACCUAAUGCCCUCAAAAUUAUUAGUUGUCACAGGUUAGAUAAAUCAUGGCUUAUUUCUUCUCAAGUUAUUCAUCAGACAAGGAUUUUACAUGAAGUGUCAUGGUUUCUUUGACCUUUAACCUAAAAACAUCAAUGUAUACCAUCUACUGGCCAUGGACAAUGUCCCUACCAAAUAAAAUAAACCAGGGCUCAUUCCUCCUCAAGGUUAAUACGUACAAGCUGAUCAUCCCUAUCAGAGGAUGGUCCUCACAAAGGACCAGAACUUAAUCAAGAUUAAAGUCUAAUCUAUGUGCCUUUGAUAGUGAUCUCCUAAUACGAUCUUAAAGACAUGUAUCAAGCUUAAAGUGGAUACCUUCAGUAGUUUCAAAGACAAAUGUUGCAUGUAAAACUUUAACCAGGAUUUUGU